rnacentral:rRNA from 1 species
CCUACGGGUGGCAGCAGUGAGGAAUAUUGGUCAAUGGGCGGAAGCCUGAACCAGCCAAGUAGCGUGCAGGAUGACGGCCCUACGGGUUGUAAACUGCUUUUGUACCGGGGUAAAAUGCCUUACGUGUAGGGUUUUGAAAGUACUGUACGAAUAAGGAUCGGCUAACUCCGUGCCAGCAGCCGCGGUAAUACGGAGGAUCCGAGCGUUAUCCGGAUUCAUUGGGUUUAAAGGGUGCGUAGGUUGUUUUAUAAGUUAGCGGUGAAAUACCGAUGCUCAACAUCGGGGCUGCCGCUAAUACUGUAGGACUAGAGAUCGGAUGCAGCAGGCGGAAUGUGUAGUGUAGCGGUGAAAUGCAUAGAUAUUACACAGAACACCGAUUGCGAAGGCAGCUUGCUAGGCCGGAUCUGACACUGAUGCACGAAAGCGUGGGGAUCGAACAGGAUUAGAUACCCGUGUAGUC